UUACAAUGGCAGGUACAGCGGGAAGCCACCCGGCGACGGGGCGCGGAACCCGAAAGCCUGUCUCAGUUCGGAUUGGAGUCUGCAACCCGACUCCAUGAAGCUGGAUUCGCUAGUAAUCGCGCAUCAGCCACGGCGCGGUGAAUACGUUCCCGGGCCUUGUACACACCGCCCGUCAAGCCAUGGAAGCCGGGGGUGCCUGAAGUGCGUGACCGCAAGGAGCGCCCUAGGGUAAAACCGGUGACUGGGGCUAAGUCGUAACAAGGUAAC
rnacentral:rRNA from 1 species